rnacentral:rRNA from 1 species
GUGCCAGCAGCCGCGGUAAUACAGAGGGGGCAAGCGUUAUUCGGAAUUAUUGGGCGUAAAGGGUGCGUAGGCGGUUUUUUAAGUCAGAUGUGUAAUCCCCGAGCUCAACUUGGGAACUGCAUCUGAAACUGGAAGACUAGAGUGCUGGAGAGGAUGGUGGAAUUCCACGUGUAGCGGUGAAAUGCGUAGAGAUGUGGAGGAACACCAGUGGCGAAGGCGGCCAUCUGGACAGUAACUGACGCUGAAGCACGAAAGUGUGGGUAGCAAACAGGAUUAGAUACCCUGGUAGUCCACACCGUAAACGAUGAACACUUGGUGUAGUGGGCGUUGACCCCCACUGUGCCGUAGCUAACGCGAUAAGUGUUCCGCCUGGGGAGUACGGUCGCAAGGCUGAAACUUAAAUGAAUUGACGGGG